rnacentral:rRNA from 1 species
AUUGAACGCUGGCGGCAGGCCUAACACAUGCAAGUCGAGCGGUAACAGGGGAAGCUUGCUUCUCGCUGACGAGCGGCGGACGGGUGAGUAAUGUAUGGGGGAUCCGCCCGAUAGAGGGGGAUAACUACUGGAAACGGUAGCUAAUACCGCAUAAUCUCUCAGGAGCAAAGCAGGGGAACUUCGGUCCUUGCGCUAUCGGAUGAACCCAUAUGGGAUUAGCUAGUAGGUGGGG